AACUGCCCCGACUGUCGCGGUGAGGGCCCCAGGACAGAAGCAGACAGACAGGGCUCCUGCUGUCGAUUCCGAUCCAGCCAGAAUGCCUCCAACUCAGGCCGAAAGUGUUAUAAGGAGUAUUAUACGAGAAAUAGGACAAGAAUGUGCAGCCCAUGGAGAGAUUGUUUCUGAAACUCUGAUUGCUUUUAUGGUGAAAGCUGUUGUCUUGGACCCAAGUAAUGGCUUUAACAUGGAUAGAACCCUCAUGAAAAGUGAUGUGCAGAAUCUUGUUCAGCUUUGUAUGACUCGGCUAUUGGAUACUAAAAAUCCAUCCCUGGACACUAUUAAGAUGCAAGUCUACUUUGAUAUGAAUUAUACAAAUCGAGUGGAAUUUCUCGAAGAACAUCACCGGGUCCUAGAGUCUAGAUUAGGCUCUGUUACCAGAGAAAUUACAGAUAACAGAGCAUGUGCUAAAGAAGAAUUGGAAAGCCUCUACCGGAAGAUUAUCAGCUAUGUGUUACUCCGCUCUGGCCUUGGAUCCCCUACAGACAUCAAGACUGUCAGAGAGGUAACAGCUGCUCUACAGAGUGUUUUUCCUCAGGCUGAGCUUGGGACGUUUCUAACUCUUUCUAAGAAGGACAAAGAACGCCAGCUGAAAGAACUCACCAUGAUUGUUACUGGAAUUCGUUUAUUUAACAGAGAUUGUGGAAAAGGAGGAGAAGGCGUUGAUGAUUUGCCAGCUGUUCUCCAUGUAGCAAUCCCAGCCACCAUGCAGCAUAUUGAUUACCAGCUUGAGACUGCCCGGAGCCAGGUAUACCGCUACACAGCCAUCCUUGAGAAGGCAGCCAACGACCCACUCAUGAGGGCUGAACUUCAGCCAUAUAUGUUAAAAGAAGCGCUAUAUAAUAUACGACAAUAUGAGGUCUUCCUUCAGAUCAUUUUGUCAGAUAUAAUUACUGGUGCUCAAGAAGUGGAAAUGAUGACAAAGCAGUUAGCAGCCCAUCUGGAACAACUAAAAAUGACGAUAAAAUCAAAGACAGCGGUCCCAACAUCACAAGUCUUUCCUAUCUUCAUUGCACUUUCUACUCUGUGGACCAGCUUGCAAGACGAAACUAUUGUGGUUGGUGUCCUCAGUAAUUUAUUCACUCACAUUCAGCCAUUCUUGGGUGCUCACGAACUAUACUUUCCUGAGAGAGUGAUGCAAUGUCAUCUUAAUGGAGCGACUGUGAAAACUGAUGUGUGUAGAAUGAAAGAACACAUGGAAGAUAGAGUAAAUGUGGCAGAUUUCAGAAAACUAGAAUGGCUUUUCCCAGAAACAACAGCAAAUUUUGAUAAACUGUUAAUUCAAUAUCGGGGAUUUUGUGCUUACACAUUUGCUGCAACAGAUGGUCUUCUCCUUCCAGGAAAUCCAGCAAUUGGAAUUUUAAAAUAUGAAGAAAAAUAUUACACAUUCAAUAGUAAAGAUGCUGCAUAUUCAUUUGCAGAAAAUCCUGAACAUUAUAUUGAUAUAGUUAGAGAAAAGGCCAAAAAAAAUGCAGAGUUAAUUCAGCUAUUGGAACUUCAUCAACAGUUUGAAACACUUAUUCCAUAUUCUCAGGUAAGCAGGGUCAAUAUUUUAUGAAUUUAUGACAUUUAAAAAUAUAGUUAAUUUAAAAGUUAUAUUUUAUUGUAGAAUGCUUCCCAAGUCCAGGCAGGUCUUGGUCUGUAAAGACGAGGGUCUUUACAGGUUGUCUGAAAGGGAUUCACAUCUGAAGAUGAAUCAAUAAAGAAUAAUGAAAACAGGAUAUGGAGUCAAAUUGAUGAAUUAGGAAAUGGGGAAAAUCUGAAUCAGAAUGACUUCAUUGACUUAUAAAUAAUCGAAGCUGCAGUAUAUUUCUGUAUCUGAAAUUGGAGGAGCUCAACACAGAUAACACAGACAGUAACUUAUACUCAGAGCUGCAAAACAAUUUAACAGGUUUAAAUUGUAGUAGUCUGAAAGGCCACAGAAUGGAUCUCAAGGUGGGUUUCUUGUAUGUCUGUGCCUAUUGAUUAAUUCAUUCAUCUUAUUUAGUAAGCCACUUAUUGUGUAUCAGUAAUUAUUCUUGGCAUAAGGGAUUUUAUGAAACAAAACAGAUAAAAAUCUCUACCGGUUUGGAACUCACAUUUGAAUGCUGUAUAUUCUCAUGUUCUUCCUCUUUGUCUCUCAUUUUCGUUGUUCAUCUCUUUUUUUGUUCUUUUUAGAGGCAAGGUCUCACUCUGUCACCCAGGAUGGAGAGCAGUGGCGCAAUCAUAGCUCACUGUACCUUCCAACUCCUGGGUUCAAGGAAUCGUCUUGCCUCAGUCUCCCAAGUAGCUGGGACUACAGGCAGGUGCCACCAUGCCUGGCUAAUUUUUUUAAAAAACUUAUUUUUUGUAGAGAUGGGGUCUCGCCAUGUUGCCCGGGCUGGUAUCAAACUUGUGGCUUCAAGUUAUCCUCCCACCUUGGCAUCCCAAAGUGUUGGGAUUAUAGGCAUGAGCCACCAUGCCCAGCUUGUUGCUCAUCUCUUAAGUGGUCUUUCUGUCUCUCCUCUCUCUUGUUGAAUUCCUCUCUUCUAAACUCACUAAAAUGAAAACAUUUUGAAAU
rnacentral:sRNA from 1 species